UAAUAAUAGGAAUUCUUUUGACCAUUAGGUUCUCUUUGACAUUUCUUCUUCUACUUUGUCACGGGCUGAUAAAAGAGGUACAGGCAUACCAUACAAAAUACAACACAUCUCCAGAAGAGUAGACAAGUCUUAAAUAU